rnacentral:rRNA from 1 species
UACGGAGGAUGCGAGCGUUAUCCGGAUUUAUUGGGUUUAAAGGGUGCGUAGGCGGGCUUUUAAGUCAGCGGUAAAAAUUCGGGGCUCAACCCCGUCCGGCCGUUGAAACUGGGGGCCUUGAGUGGGCGGGAAGAAGGCGGAAUGCGUGGUGUAGCGGUGAAAUGCAUAGAUAUCACGCAGAACCCCGAUUGCGAAGGCAGCCUUCCGGCGCCCUACUGACGCUGAGGCACGAAAGUGCGGGGAUCGAACAGG